rnacentral:rRNA from 1 species
CAGUAGCCACGGUAAUACGGAGGGUGCAAGCGUUAUCCGGAUUUAUUGGGUUUAAAGGGUCCGUAGGCGGAUCUGUAAGUCAGUGGUGAAAUCUCACAGCUUAACUGUGAAACUGCCAUUGAUACUGCAGGUCUUGAGUAAAUUUGAAGUGGCUGGAAUAAGUAGUGUAGCGGUGAAAUGCAUAGAUAUUACUUAGAACACCAAUUGCGAAGGCAGGUCACUAAGAUUUAACUGACGCUGAUGGACGAAAGCGUGGGGAGCGAAUGGGAUUAGAUACCCCCGUAGUCCCUGUCUCUUAUAC